AAGUCGAGGGGCAGCAUAAAAUAAGCUUGCUUAUUUGGUGGCGACCGGCGCACGGGUGCGUAACGCGUAUGCAACCUACCCUGUACUGAGGGAUAGCCCGAAGAAAUUCGGAUUAAGACCUCAUAGCACUAUAUUACCGCAUGGUAAAUUAGUUAAAGGUUACGGUACGGGAUGGGCAUGCGUCCGAUUAGCUAGAUGGUAAGGUAACGGCUUACCAUGGCUACGAUAGGUAGGGGGCCUGAGAGGGUGGUCCCCCACACUGGUACUGAGACACGGACCAGACUCC
rnacentral:rRNA from 1 species